AAAUAUUUUUAAUUUAGACAAACACAAUUCAACGUCUUUCUUGUGUUUGCACACCUUUACAUAGAUCAAACACUAAAUAUUCUCCUUAUGGAAACUUGGAUGUAGACAAAGAACAUUUAUUGUUUGAUGAUUGUGGAGUAUAAGGAAUUACAUACGUACUCAAUAGAUGCAUAUUGCUCGAAAAAGAUUUUGAAGAGUUGGAAUAGCAUUGUAAGUGUAGAGUAUCAUGCAACAAAGUGAAGGAUGAUGGUGAUUGUUGUGAGGUUAGUACCAAGGGUCCUACAUUAG
rnacentral:lncRNA from 1 species